UCUACGGGAGGCUGCAGUGGGGAAUAUUGCACAAUGGGCGCAAGCCUGAUGCAGCCAUGCCGCGUGUGUGAAGAAGGCCUUCGGGUUGUAAAGCACUUUCAGCGGGGAGGAAGGCGGUGAGGUUAAUAACCUCAUCGAUUGACGUUACCCGCAGGAGAAGCACCGGCUAACUCCGUGCCAGCAGCCGCGGUAAUACGGAGGGUGCAAGCGUUAAUCGGAAUUACUGGGCGUAAAGCGCACGCAGGCGGUCUGUCAAGUCGGAUGUGAAAUCCCCGGGCUCAACCUGGGAACUGCAUUCGAAACUGGCAGGCUAGAGUCUUGUAGAGGGGGGUAGAAUUCCAGGUGUAGCGGUGAAAUGCGUAGAGAUCUGGAGGAAUACCGGUGGCGAAGGCGGCCCCCUGGACAAAGACUGACGCUCAGGUGCGAAAGCGUGGGGAGCAAACAGGAUUAGAUACCCGUGUAGUC
rnacentral:rRNA from 1 species